UGAUGUUGGGAAAGCUUCGUGUCGGAAUUUUAUCAUUAGCUGGAGAGCACUGGGCCCUCCCUUGAUCUCCUGCCAGAGUGGAUUCUUGGAGAAGAGCCUGGCUUUGAAAAGGCAACUUCAGAGAGCAUAAAGGCACACCAUGAACACACCAAGAAUAAUUCUGGGGUGAGGAAACGGAGUUUUAAAAAUUAAACGUGAGCAUUUAUGCGCGCCAACAAGUUGUCCUCACCUCCGGUCCUUGCGGGUGGCCGGGAGCACAGCAAGGAAAAAUCGGGCUUUCAGUUCUUCAUUGGCUGGAGCCAGUCUGUAGGCCCGGGGGUGGGUCAGGACUCUUCCGUGCAGACAGGAACUGGAAGCCUGGACCGGGGUCAAGCACGGGAGCACUCUCGCCGGCCAGGACCGGACCUGAGCAAGGCUGUGUUGCCCACAGUCGCAGGCUGGUGAGGAGAAGGAGGUAGGCUGACGAGUCCUAGAGGGUGGUCUUCACUGAAGCUAGGGGCUCGGGCACCAGGGGUUGGGAGAUGCCG
rnacentral:lncRNA from 1 species